AAGGCCAAUUUUUAUGCAGCUGACCUGCCACUGUGCAGCAAUGGCGCCACCUACAGCUACAGAACAAUGUGCAUGUACUGACGAAAGACCAGCUAAGGAUGAAGAUGUCAUCUAUAACCAUGGAAACACACAACGUUAACCAGUUCUCGGGCAAUCUUAAAGCUAACAUUUCUCCUACAGAAUGUUGAAAGCCUCAGUGAGAUUCCAGUCUCAGAGGACCUUAUUCCCUGCAAGGUAAGGGCCUCAAAAGAGAAAAAACACCCUCUUCCUUUUCCACCCAGUGAGGUGAUAAGGAAGAGGUGGUGUCCAGAGGCUCAGCCACACCAAAUUUUCAACCAAAGCAAUGAUAGCAGGAUUCUCUCUGCGGGAAAACAUUGCUUUCUUCUGCAUCAUUGUUAUUCCUGAACUUCCAUGC